rnacentral:rRNA from 1 species
GUAGGUGGCAAGCGUUGUCCGGAAUUAUUGGGCGUAAAGCGCGCGCAGGCGGUUCUUUAAGUCUGAUGUGAAAGCCCACGGCUCAACCGUGGAGGGUCAUUGGAAACUGGAGAACUUGAGUACAGAAGAGGAAAGCGGAAUUCCACGUGUAGCGGUGAAAUGCGUAGAGAUGUGGAGGAACACCAGUGGCGAAGGCGGCUUUCUGGUCUGUAACUGACGCUGAGGCGCGAAAGCGUGGGGAGCAAACAGGAUUAGAUACCCUGGUAGUCCACGCCGUAAACGAUGAGUGCUAAGUGUUAGGGGGUUUCCGCCCCCCUUAGUACUGCAGCUAACGCAUUAAGCACUCCGCCUGGGGAUACGGCCGCAAGGCUG